rnacentral:rRNA from 1 species
UACAGAGGUCUCAAGCGUUGUUCGGAUUCAUUGGGCGUAAAGGGUGCGUAGGUGGCGGGGUAAGUCUGGUGUGAAAUCUCGGGGCUCAACCCCGAAACUGCACUGGAUACUGCCUUGCUCGAGUACUGGAGAGGAGAUUGGAAUUUACGGUGUAGCAGUGAAAUGCGUAGAUAUCGUAAGGAAGACCAGUGGCGAAGGCGAAUCUCUGGACAGUUACUGACACUGAGGCACGGAGGCCAGGGGAGCGAACGGG